rnacentral:lncRNA from 1 species
ACAACAGGAACACAUAUAGCUGGAAUGCAGAUGGGAUCUGUGCUACUUACGCUAGCCAUGGGAUGAUUAGAACAAGAUAAGAGACAUGAGGAAGACUUCUUCAAGGAGGUGCUCAAGCCAUGUUUUGGAAAAGAGAACUCAAGGUCUGGCAGGGAGAAAGGAGCAAGGUCCUCUUCUCCCUGAAGGCUGUCACAGUUCCUGUGCAGAGAGAGAGGGCACUGCAGCACCCAGGCGCUGACUGCCUUUUGUCAGUCUCAUUUGCAGGCCCCCAGCUGGAGAACCCAGGAGGAAGAGGAAAAAAGUUUUUUCCUCCUCUACACUCCCCAUGCAUGACUAAAGAGUAGGAGGAGUCAGCAAGGCAGACAUAUAUAGUACCCAGGAGGUGGACAAACAACUGCCUUGGUGGAAACUCUGUCCUUUCUGGACUUAUCCUGGUGCCACUGAGACUGUGCAGAUUUAGAUCUACAAUCCACCUGGAAUUGAUUUUUGUAUAUGGAGUGAGGUCCCACACUUACAGGGAAAGCAUCACCCGAAAGUGAGAAUGCCUAGAGGCAGGAAUCAUGGAGGCUUCCUUAACCGUCUGUCUGCAACAGCAGGUGCUAGAGAUGACACUGCAGAGUAGAGAACAAAGGAAUCUUAGUAAUUGUUCAAUCCAAUCUCCACACUUUAAAGAUGAAGAAACUGGUAUUGAGAAAAAUACACAGCUUAUCCAAGGUUGCACUGCUGGUUGGUAGCUGAGAUGAAUUUAGAACCCACAUCUGAUGACUACACCAUAUUGCUCCCAGUUUUCCUGUCUGUUCCACAUGUAAAAGUCUGACUCUUCACUUCUCCUUUGAGUAUAUAGACUUUUAACAUUUUUGUAUGUCAAGAUGGACUUUUCCUCAUACCCAGCCCCUGCCUUUUCUCCUCCCUUCAUACCUUGCAGGAUCUUUAACAGAAUUUAAAAGGAGUUUUUUGUUUUGUUUUGAUGUAUCUAAUAAAAGUCAAGGGAGGGAGAGGGCCAGUAUAAGCAAGAGUACAGUUUCCUAGUUUGUAGAUGCGGUAGUCUGAGGAAUCAGAAACACACAAAGGUUUGGAGAACUGGUACAUGCUCCCAGGUGGGAAGCCAGGACUCUUGGUAGGAUCUUGAGGACAAGGCAAAGGACAAUAAGAGAGCGAGGGGAUCCUAGAGGUGGAAUCAAGGAAGAGAAACUAGAGAGAGAAAAAGGAACUGGCUAUCCAUCCAUGAUGGAUCCUGUGUGGACUGAUGGGUGGCUUGGCAUCAUCCUUUAGUAGACUUCAUGUGGUUGAAUAAUUGGCCAAUGGAAGGAAUUUCUUUUUUGGUAACAGACUCUGUGUGUACAGUUAUGGGUCUUAAUUUAUAAUAAAAGGUUACAUUGAAAAUUGA